UGCAAGUCGAACGGACCUUCGGGGUUAGUGGCGGACGGGUGAGUAACACGUGGGAACGUGCCUUUUGGUUCGGAAUAGCUCCUGGAAACGGGUGGUAAUGCCGAAUGUGCCCUUCGGGGGAAAGAUUUAUCGCCAUUAGAGCGGCCCGCGUCUGAUUAGCUAGUUGGUGAGGUAAAGGCUCACCAAGGCUACGAUCAGUAGCUGGUCUGAGAGGAUGACCAGCCACAUUGGGACUGAGACACGGCCCAAACUCCUACGGGAGGCAGCAGUGGGGAAUCUUGCGCAAUGGGCGAAAGCCUGACGCAGCCAUGCCGCGUGAAUGAUGAAGGUCUUAGGAUUGUAAAAUUCUUUCACCGGGGACGAUAAUGAUGGUACCCGGAGAAGAAGCCCCGGCUAACUUCGUGCCAGCAGCCGCGGUAAUACGAAGGGGGCUAGCGUUGCUCGGAAUUACUGGGCGUAAAGGGAGCG
rnacentral:rRNA from 1 species